UUUAACUUAAAAUGAGACAUGUUGCCUUAGCAAAUUGUUAUUAUUGUUAUUUGUAUUUUGUGGUUUUAGCUUUAGCUGCUGGUAUCCCUGUCCUGUAAACAGGGAACUUGAGCACAUAUCUGAGUGUAGAUCACGUGAAUGUGUUGGUUGUGUAACUCGUGAAAGACGUCUUUCUCCAGCUGUCCCGAGUGCUGCCAGAGCUGUGACUGACUGCUGGAAACUCAGCUUCAUCAGGCUCUCUGGCGUCUCUCAGCAGGAGCUCCAGGAAACAUUUACACCGCUUUCAAGAAGAAUUUAUUACGCAACUCGACGGUCGCUCCCACGGAGGAUGUCGUGCGGCUCGUUUUUCUGGGGCAUCGUCUGGCUGCUGGUGCUGCUGUUUCUCGGCUGGCCCUUGAGCAUUAUGCUGGGGGGUCUGUACGGCCUCGUCGCCCCUUUCACCGUCUGCCUGGGUCUGGACCGGCUGGCCGACCUGCUGAUGGAGGGGGCCAAUCUGGGCAGAAAGUGUGCCCAGAACAUGAGGCAUGGCAAAGCGCUGUGCUGAGACCAAUAGCCAAGAAGAGUGCUCAGCCGUAUUAAUAGUCAACAUGAACUGUUUUUGACAGUUUACUGUGCCUUUUAUUCUCUGUGACUAGACCACGAUGCUUUGUUAAAGCCUUAGUAUCACUUUCUUGCUUCUCUGUAUCUCUUUUUCUUAGGCUGCUUGAAUGUGAAAAUUGACAGUUUUCUGGUACUGAUGUCUGAGUUCACAAUGUUGAAACACAUAAGUAUACUUAUAUUACAAGAAGAGUUUGUUAAACACUCUUCUCUAGAGACUUCAUGAGACCACCUUUGAAACCUUUGUGCGGUCCAGGACGCAAGAUGCAGAUCUUCAAACCAGCCGCCGAGUCUCCAUACAGGCCACAAAACAGUCCAUUUCAGGUCAAGAAAGUGCAGAAGUAAAAGUUUGUAUCAGUACAUUAUUGUGCAUUAUUCUGUUUGAAUCAAUUUGUCAACAAUCUGUACGAUCAUGUCAAAUACUAGUAUUUAGAACUGCAACAUUCCCAUUAUUCUCACAGAUUAAUGAAUAAACUGAUUUUCAGCUCCA